AUUUUUCAAAGAACAUGCUGAGCUGGAAGAGGGCUUUUAUUGAGUGCUGUUUGAGGUGUGUUAACUUUGCGCUUUCAAUCACAAAGACGAAGACGUAAAAUGAGCGUUUAGAAAACAUCAUCAGUAAAAAUAUAAAGGAAAUCAAUUUUUCUGCACAGGCAAAUAAAUGUAGAGCGGAAGAUAAUCCAUAAACAAGGCAUGUGAAUUGGUACAGAUUACCUUUCCACCUAAAUCUCUCUCUAAUCAUCAGGCAGAAAAAUGCGCUUUGAUGAGUAGAAUUGAAUUGAAAUUUUUGCUCACCGUUGUUUACUGACCGAGGCGUUUCUCGCAACAAGACGUACACAAAUGGCCAACAUAUGCACGCAUAUGCUCUAUUCAUACAACUUUACACGACCAAGGCAGAUGACGUGGUAGAAAAUUUAAUCUUAUGGUAUAAUAUGGCAAACAAAUUUGAUUGCAAGAAAAACAUGAUCAAAGCAAGAAAAACAUGAUCAAUCACGAAAACAGAAAUGCUUGCAUGCUUUGAAAGACUGCUGGAGCACUGUACAGC